CGUGUGCUUUUGUUAAACAAAAAGAAGUGGGCUUCAGCCCGCGAGAACGUGAGAGAAGACGAGAGAGUCUGAGAAACCAGGAGAGUGAGAACGAAACCCUAAUCCUCUUCAAUUUUUUUCUCCUUUUUCGGACCAAACCCUAGAAAUCGAGAGGAAUGUGGGUUGAGGGGAGACCAAGGCUAGAUUUAUUUCGGGAAUGGUAACGCAAGGGAAGAGAAAAAGAGUUAUGACGCUAGAAUGACCGUGAGGAGGCGCGAAAGGGAUCCUAGGUAAGGGCAUACAGAGUUUUCGAGUGGAAGUGAGGGUGAGUCCGGUAUUUAAGGAUUGGGAGGUAGGAGGAGUGAAAUAACACACCAUCAUUCCUAUUUGAGUGAAAAACAGAGUGAGGAUUGAGAGAGAACGCGAGACGCGACGAGAAAGGGGAGGGAACGUUAGGAAGCUGGCUCCAGUAAGAAAGGAAGGAUUGGAUAAGGUGGCUUGUAGAUUUUGAGAGUUGCUUUCACUUAAUACUAGUUGAAGGGAGCUGAAUACUGAAUACAGACAGAUGGUUCACAUGGCAGCAUCUGUAAGGGGGGUUCAUAAACUUGUAUCCUCCUCCCGGAUUGAAAAACUGCUUUUCCUUUCACGUUCCAAACAGCAUCUGCCACCGUGGGUUGAGAUUGUGCGCCAUUUUAGCUUUACUGAUGAUUUCAGUGGCAGACGCAAAUAUGCUACUGGGGAACGUGAUGAUUUUCUUCGUCAACAGCCAGACUCAAGCUUUGAAGACAAUGGUAGCAACCGAAACCAUGAGGCAUAUAAUGUUGAACAGGGAUUGUCAGAUUCAAUUCCAAGUAGACCUUUGAGAAGUAGGAAGCCAAUUAAUCAACCUCCUCCACGUUUUCGAGAAUCAGGGAGAGUUUCCAUUCCUCCAAGAUUUGAUGAUAGCCAUGGUGCGCCUGGUGCUUUGGACAACUCAAAUAAAUCUUCCAAAAUUGAUCUUGCAUUUCAGGGCACGAAUGGGGCAGAAACAAAUAGGGACCUGGGGCAAUCAGGAGACAGUUUCCUUGACAAAUUCAAGCUUGCUUUUGAUGACAAAACAGUGAAUCAGUCAGAGGUUGCAGCAAGCAUGCAAUCUGAAGAAGCAAAGUGGUCAGAUUCCAAUUCAAAGGCUCAAGAGCCUGUGCCACAAGAUGCCGAUGAGAUAUUCAAGAAGAUGAAGGAGACGGGCCUUAUCCCUAAUGCUGUGGCUAUGCUCGAUGGUCUAUGUAAAGAUGGUCUGGUUCAAGAAGCCUUGAAACUUUUUGGUUUGAUGCGGGAGAAGGGAACCAUUCCAGAGAUUGUCAUAUACACAGCAGUAGUGGAGGGAUACACAAAGGUCGACAAGGCUGAUGAUGCGAAAAGGAUUUUCAGGAAAAUGCAGAGUAGUGGCAUUUCUCCCAAUGCUUUCAGUUACACAGUCCUUAUACAAGGACUCUACAAGUGUAGAAGAUUACAGGAUGCUUUUGAAUUUUGUGUAGAGAUGUUAGAAGCGGGCCACUCACCAAAUGUGACAACUUUUGUAGGCCUGGUGGAUGGUUUCUGCAAGGAAAAAGGGGUUGAAGAAGCUAAGGAUGCUAUCAAAACAUUAACUAAAAAGGGCUUUGCUUUUGAUGAGAAAUCUGUUAGGCAGUUUUUGGACAAGAAAACACCAUUUUCACCCUCUGUUUGGGAGGCGAUUUUUGGGAAGAAAGCCCCGCAGAGACCAUUUUAACUAUGUUUCAUACCAUUUAACAGAAUCUGUUACGGAGAUCUAACUGUUUCACAAGACUAAGUAGGAUCUGACUCCUAUAUGGAAUGUAUACAAGAACCCUUAUCAGGCAUGACUAACUUAGCCCUAAUCCUUACCUCAGUUCCUGUGACCCUAACUCGAUUGACUCUUGGUUACAUCUCAUUUUGUUCCUGUGAUCUAAGGAGACAGACUUGACCAAUUUGUGUUGAAUCAAGAAACGCAAUAGUGUUUCCUAUAUGAUGCUGUGGCGAUUGUGGCGUAAUCAAACAUUCAACGGAGACAAUAGGGAUCAGCUUCUGCUCUUGUGGCGGCUCCUUGCUUCACUUUUAGAGUAUCUCAUUUGUGUAGUUUGUUGCACACUUUUGGUAGCUUUGGGGUAAGAUACACUGAUACAUCAUUCUUUCGAAUUCCAAAAUUUUGUGCUAAGUUCAUCAGUUCUAAACUGUAAAAGGCUCCUACUCUGUUUCUGAAUGCUUGUUGCGGAUCAAGGCUCUGUUUGAUUCCUUUGAUCUUCGUGGGUUUUCUUGUGUACCUCAUUAACAUACUGAUGUGAUCUUCGAUGACAUUAUUGAGGUAGUUUGAUGCUUGUUAUGACAUUCAUCAAUAGUAGAAGGGAACCUCAUUAAAA